rnacentral:misc_RNA from 1 species
UUUGUGUUCUGUGAUAAUGUAAGCCGAGGCCAUUCUCUACUUUGGGACAUUUUCUGUAUUUGGUGUGACUGUGGAUGCCUUGGCGAGAUCUUCCACAGAAUUGAAACUUAUCCAAUGCUAACAGUAUUCACGUGGAGCUUACCUGUGCAAUAUUACCUGGACCUUUUAUCAGACAAAAAACUUAACAGAUAUUGAUAAGCCUUUUUUGUUUUAUACAUUUUAUGUUUAAUCAGGGACAUCUGCCGUUAUCGAAAUUCUAGCGAGAAAAUUCGAAUGAUUAUUAAAAUUUCAAGUGUCUUGUCGGAUUGAAGGACGAAAUAUUCUAACUUUUGGGUGAAUCUACUACGAACCAAAGUUCUAACAGUUAUUGAAAAUGGAACUUUUUCACGGAUGACACUGUAAAUUAAAAUGUCCCGGACCGACUUCUAACACAGCCCAAUGUUGAUCGAGACACAUAUGGACAUCAUGCCAUCUUCUGCAAAGCGUGUGUGUCGAGAAGGGAGUCUGGAAACUGACAAGGAGUCAUCCAUAGACAUUUCUCCCGUUCAGACUCCGGAUCUGGAAACUGUACGGCCAAAAACCCGAAAGCACCCCAAAUCAAGCCUCAAAUCAGAGCCCGAUACAGACGACAGUCCGGUCUUCACUGAUGACGAAAGCAUUAUAGGAGAUGACGACAAAACCGGAAAUCAAGAGACUACAUCGGAAGGUCUCGGCAAUCAACAACCACAGAAGAAAACUGUUGCUCAGAUUAUGAGAGACAAAAAGAAGCAGACUGGCAUGACCCUACAAUGGCUGGAGGAGAACUACUGUAUCUGUGAGGGCGUAUGUCUCCCCCGCUGUAUUCUGUACGCACACUACCUCGACUUCUGUCGGCAGAAAUCCCUGGAGCCCGCGUGUGCCGCAACUUUUGGAAAGACAAUUCGACAAAAAUUCCCUCACCUCACCACCCGACGCCUAGGAACCCGAGGACAUUCAAAAUAUCACUACUAUGGUAUCGGAAUCAGAGAAACUAGUCAGUACUAUCAUUCUGUGUACACGGGGAAAGGACUUACAAGGUUCUCCGGGUGUAAACUGAAAAAUGAGGGUGGAUUCACAAGGAAAUAUUCACUUAGUUCAAAGACUGGCACCUUACUUCCAGAAUUCCCUAAUGCUCAAUAUCUCAUUUUACCACUCUCCAUUCCCAGAGAAAAGGUUGAGACCUUUGUAAUGAUGUAUAAGACUCAUUGCCAGUGUAUCCUGGACACGGCCAUCAACGCCAACUUUGAAGAGAUUCAGAACUUCUUGCUACAUUUUUGGCAAGGAUUGCCUGAGCAUCUGCUUCCUCUAGUAGAGAAUGAGGUCAUCAUCGACAUCAUCUGUGUGUGUGACAGCAUUCUGUACAAGGUUCUCACCGAGGUUCUAAUUCCGGCCACAAUGCAAGAAAUGCCAGAAACAUUGCUCUGUGAUAUCCGCAAUUUUUCGAAACACUGGGAGAAUUGGGUCUCUACUUCUCUAGAAAAUCUACCGGACACCCUCUCACAAAGCAAGCUUCCGGUAGCAAGACGAUUCGCACAAUCCAUGAAAAGACAAACUUCAUUUCUUCAUCUCGCACAGACGGCCCGCCCCGUGCUGUAUGACGCCCAGAUGGUGAACCAGAUGAUUGCUGACGUGGACAGCAUUGAUCUGAACAGUAUAGGCACGCAUGCGCUUCACAACACCAAUGAUGGCGGGGAGUCAGAUCUGGAACUGAAUGCCGAGUUUUUGAGAGAAUUCAAAGAGAUUCUACGUAAGCAGGCGACAGUGGAGGCGUUCACGGAAUGGCUGGACAGUGUGGUCGAAACCAAAGUCAUCAAGCCUAGUAAACAGAACGGUCGAUCGUUCAAAAAGCGGGCCUCAGCAUUCCUCCUCAACUGGUCCUUUUUUGGAGCCAGAGUCAUGCAUAAUCUUACCUUGAACAACGCAAAAGCAUUUGGUUCCUUCCAUUUGAUCCGGAUGCUUCUGGACGAGUACGUGCUAUUGGCAGUGGAAACACAGCUACACGUGGAGAAAGAAACCGAAAUCCAGUCCCUCCUAGAAAAGCACAUGAAAACAGAGGACGGAAACGCGCGGCCCAUCCUUUCGUCUCAGUCCAGCAGCUGCUUCCUGGCCACCAAACGGGAGAACUUGAACAGCAAGAACUUCAACAACAACAACAACGUGAAGCCCGAGUUCUACGGUCAGCAGUCGCCCAUAUGUCAUAAUCCAUUCAAACACGAGAAAGAGCCCCCAUUUAACAUGUCCAGCCAUAUCAACAAUAUGGCUGUCAUGGCACAGAGUGUAAUAGGUAAUCCACAACCCAAUCGAACAUCCCCAAUCAUUUUCAAUCCAAUUCCACAGCUUAGAAACAGCGUGAUCAGCUAUCCGGGAUCCUCCCAACCGUCUUUAGUCGCACCUGCUCCAUUCAGCUAUAUCGGUCAAGGAGACUACCAGCCCGGCUCUCCCGUACAGCUUCGGUAGCUACGGGCCGCACUACCCGAGUGCUUUCCGAACACACCCAUCAAUGAAUCACUCACCAUUAUUCCAGCGUGAAAAAUGAUCUGGAGUCAACAUAUCAUCCCGACUCUCAGUACGGCAAUCCGGAUUACUACAAUCCGAACUACACCAGCUUGUCUCAGCCCACGUUUGGGUCGCCGUCUGUGUACAGCCAGGGCUCCUCUGCCUUCAAUGUGGUGCCCAGUAACCAACCGUUCAGCGGCCUGCCUUACUCCGGAGCAGAUUUUUUCGCCAGUUCGUACAAUCCUCCAUCAAAGCCGCACGUGGAACACGUGUCGGUGAUUCAGCAGCGUUACCCGGAUGAUCCACUGAACAUUCUGGACAAGCCGAUCCGGCCGAAAGAUGGCGCUUAUAACACUAGUCCUGCUAGCUGUCACAGCCCCCCUCGCCCCGGAGUUCAUGACUUUGGAGAUGACAUCAUAAGCAUGGCGGUCAAUGGGAUGAUUACUAGUGACCAUGACCUUUCACAGGCCUACAAUGACCCGGGACCUUUGCCCUCGAUAAACACUGUGUUUAUGACGUAGUGUGUUUGUGAUGGACUUAUUGACUUAUUUCUUUUGUGAGAAUUGUGACAAGCAAUAAAGUAUUUGGUGAUGCAGUCUUGUGGAGGUGCAAUGCCAUUCGACAUUUUAUCGCAUAUCUUGCGGUUGAAGGAUAAUAUUUUUUCAAUUUGGAUGAGAUUCAUUCAUAAACUUAGUAAAACAGGAAGUAUUUACGUGAACGUGUGCACAUGUGUCAUUAAAGGGUACUUAGAUACACUAGGUUAACCAGUGGCUGGAGACAGAUCUGAAUUGUAAAUAUUUUGAAACUUAUUUGUAGUGCUAUGUCUACGUAUUCAUAUCAUUAGUUACGUAUAGUAAAUUUCUUUAGAUCAUAUAUUGUAUAUAUAGAAAAUAGUCAGAUAUUUCCAGUGCCUCCUAGUUCUGCAGUCUCAUUUUCCCAUUUUUGAUCAAAAGUCAAUUACACCAUUUUGCUUCAUCAGUGCCAUAUGGAUUUUUUUAUUUGUCUCUAUCUCUCUUCCUUUUCAUUUCAUUCAAAAAGUGUGGUUUUUAUAUCUAUUGUGAUUUUUGCAUACACAAUUUAACUCAUUCUUGUGCAAUUCACAACGAGCCGUAACGAUCAAAACAAGCUUGCCUUUCUCAAAUUGAUUACAUUAUUACAUAUGAUUACAUUAUUACAUAUGAUUACAAAUGAUAACAUUACUACACGCGUUACUGUUGCACGACUUAUCUUUAUUGUGUACAUUGGACCGCUUACAACAAUGAUUGUUUUUACCAGCUAUCAUUAAAAUGAAAUGAUAAACGCAAUAUGUAAUAUUUUGCAAUGUAAUGUUUAGAGACGAAUAUUGUAGAUGUGAUUUUUUUUAUUAUAUCAUUUUGUUAACCGUACUUGCCAUGACAAUAUAUUAGUCAAUAGUUAUAAUACAUACCAAUAUUGUUGCCUUUUGUUAUAUGAUUUAAAGACAAUUGCCUUCAGUUGACAAUUCUAAUAUUUAACCAUGAGGUGUAAAUAAAAGAUGGACGUCC